rnacentral:rRNA from 1 species
GACGAACGCUGGCGGCGUGCCUAAUACAUGCAAGUAGAACGCUGAAGAGAGGAGCUUGCUCUUCUUGGAAGAGUUGCGAACGGGUGAGUAACGCGUAGGUAACCUGCCUUGUAGCGGGGGAUAACUAUUGGAAACGAUAGCUAAUACCGCAUAACAAUGGGUGACCCAUGUCAUUCAUUUGAAAGGGGCAACUGCUCCACUACAAGAUGGACCUGCGUUGUAUUAGCUAGUAGGUGAGGUAACGGCUCACCUAGGCGACGAUACAUAGCCGACCUGAGAGGGUGAUCGGCCACACUGGGACUGAGACACGGCCCAGACUCCUACGGGAGGCAGCAGUAGGGAAUCUUCGGCAAUGGGGGCAACCCUGACCGAGCAACGCCGCGUGAGUGUAGAAGGUUUUCGGAUCGUAAAGCUCUGUUGUAAGUCAAGAACGAGUGUGAGAGUGGAAAGUUCACACUGUGACGGUAGCUUACCAGAAAGGGACGGCUAACUACGUGCCAGCAGCCGCGGUAAUACGUAGGUCCCGAGCGUUGUCCGGAUUUAUUGGGCGUAAAGCGAGCGCAGGCGGUUUGAUAAGUCUGAAGUUAAAGGCUGUGGCUCAACCAUAGUUCGCUUUGGAAACUGUCAAACUUGAGUGCAGAAGGGGAGAGUGGAAUUCCAUGUGUAGCGGUGAAAUGCGUAGAUAUAUGGAGGAACACCGGUGGCGAAAGCGGCUCUCUGGUCUGUAACUGACGCUGAGGCUCGAAAGCGUGGGGAGCGAACAGG